rnacentral:rRNA from 1 species
GACGAACGCUGGCGGCGUGCUUAACACAUGCAAGUCGAACGGAAAGGCCCUGCUUUUGUUGGGUGCUCGAGUGGCGAACGUGUGAGUAACACGUGAGUAACCUGCCCUUUACUUUGGUAUAACUUCAUGAAACUUGGGCUAAUACCGGAUAGGAGCUCCUGCUGCAUGGUGGGGGUUGGAAAGUUUCGGCGGUUGGGGAUGGACUCGCGGCUUAUCAGCUUGUUUGUGGGGUAGUGGCUUACCAAGGCUUUGACGGGUAGCCGGCCUGAGAGGGUGACCGGCCACAAUGGGACUGAGAGACGGCACAGACUGCUACGGGAGGCAGCAGUGGGGAAUAUUGCAAAAUGGGAGGAAGCCUGAUGCAGAAACGAAGCGUGCGGGAUGAAGGCCUUCGGGUUGUAAAAAGAAUUAGAAUGUGACGAAGCGUGAGUGACGGUAAUGGGUAAAGAAGCACCGGCUAACUACGUG